rnacentral:antisense_RNA from 1 species
AGAUUCGACACAAAACCCGGAAGGACCCCGCCGAAGGUUUUCUCCGGUUCGUGAGAGGGACGGAGUCCCGCUCUGUCACGCAGGCUGCCAGGCUGGCGUACAGUGGCGCAAUCUCAGCUCACUGCAACCUCCACCUCCUGGGUUCAAGCGAUUUUCUUGCCUCUGCCUCCUGAGUAGCUGGGAUUACUGGCACACACCACCAAUGCACAGUUGCAGGAAUUUAGCCAAUUCAGAGAUCUUGUUCUCCAUAAUUUGGAAUUUUCCUUCGGAUUUGAUCAAGUUGGAUAGAGUUGGUCAAACCCAAUGGGAAAAAGAUGAAAACAACAAGAAACAGAAACAAACAACAACAGCAACAACAACAAAAACAAGCAGAGACCGCCGUGUGAAGAUGGAGGCAGAGAUCGGAGAGAUGCUGCCACAUGCCACAAAUGCCUGGGGCUCCCAGAAACUACACGGAGCCUCCCCCAGCGGCUUCAGCAGGAGCAUGGCUCGGCCAACACUUUAAUCUUGGUCUUCCAGCCUCCAGAACGUUUUCCUAAAAUUCCCUUUUCCACUGGUGUGUGGUGCAAGAUGAGGCACAUU